rfam:Ixodes scapularis strain Wikel colony gcontig_1108379109970, whole genome shotgun sequence.
GCAGUCGUGGCCGAGUGGUUAAGGCGAUGGACUGGAAAUCCAUCGGGGUCUCCCCGCACAGGUUCGAAUCCUGUCGACUGCG